rnacentral:rRNA from 1 species
GACGAACGCUGGCGGCGUGCCUAAUACAUGCAAGUAGAACGCUGAAGGAGGAGUUUGCUCUUCUGGAUGAGUUGCGAACGGGUGAGUAACGCGUAGGUAACCUGCCUGGUAGCGGGGGAUAACUAUUGGAAACGAUAGCUAAUACCGCAUAACAGUAGAUGUUGCAUGACAUUUACUUAAAAGGUGCAAUUGCAUCACUACCAGAUGGACCUGCGUUGUUUUAGCUAGUUGGUGGGGUAACGGCUCUCCAAGGCGACGAUACAUAGCCGACCGGAGACGGGGAGCGGCCACACUGGGACGGAGACACGGCCCAGACUCCUACGGGAGGCAGCAGUAGGGAAUCGUCGGCAAUGGACGGAAGUCUUACCGAGCAACGCCGCGUGAGUGAAGAAGGUUUUCGGAUCGUAAAGCUCGGUUGUAAGAGAAGAACGAGUGUGAGAGUGGAAAGUUCACACUGUGACGGUAGCUUACCAGAAAGGGACGGCUAACUACGUG